rnacentral:snRNA from 1 species
ACUCAUUCCUGGCAGGGGAGAUACCAUGAUAAUCAAAGUGGUUUUCCCAGGGUGAGGCUCAUCUAUUGCACUUUGUAUGUGCUGACCCCUGUGAUUUGGGAAAAUCAACUGCCUAAGUGGGGGACUGUGUUUGUGGUUUCCCCUG